rnacentral:rRNA from 1 species
UACGAAGGGGGCUAGCGUUGCUCGGAUUCACUGGGCGUAAAGGGUGCGCAGGCGGCCGGGUGUGUCAGAUGUGAAAUCCCGAGGCUUAACCUCGGAACUGCGUCUGAAACUACUCGGCUAGAGUACUGGAGAGGGUAACGGAAUUCACGGUGUAGCAGUGAAAUGCGUAGAUAUCGUGAGGAACACCAGAGGCGAAGGCGGUUACCUGGACAGUUACUGACGCUCAGGCACGAAAGCAUGGGGAGCAAAAGGG